AACGAACGCUGGCGGCAGGCUUAACACAUGCAAGUCGAACGGUUGUAGCAAUACAGCAGUGGCAGACGGGUGAGUAACACGUGGGAACCUUCCUAGGGGUACGGAACAACUCAGGGAAACUUGAGCUAAUACCGUAUACGUCCGUGAGGAGAAAGAUUUAUCGCCCUUAGACGGGCCCGCGUCGGAUUAGGUAGUUGGUGGGGUAACGGCCUACCAAGCCGACGAUCCGUAGCUGAUCUGAGAGGAGAUCAGCCACACUGGGACUGAGACACGGCCCAGACUCCUACGGGAGGCAGCAGUGGGGAAUCUUGGACAAUGGGCGCAAGCCUGAUCCAGCCAUGCCGCGUGAGCGAAGAAGGCCUU
rnacentral:rRNA from 1 species